GUCCUAGCCUGAAUAACUGUGAACCUCGAAGAUUGAUCACAAUGUCGGCACCGGAUUGAGACUCCUGUCCAAAUCGGAGCUCCGGAGCUCCAGAACCCGAACGGAACCGAGCAAAAACCGGUUCCGACUUCGAAAACGAAGUAGACGAAGAAGAUGAAACCUCCGAAAUCGAUAAAACCACAAAUUCGUUUUCCUUCACAGAAACCUCCAUUAACGCUGUUUUUUGCUUCAAUUUCUGAAACGAAAGCUUCGAAUAUGACCUCUUCUCAGUGAAAUCAAUCAAUCUAUGAUCUGUUCUUCAUGAAGAAAUGAAUUAGGGUUUUCAGUAGAGAGUGUGUAGAAGGUUUUGA
rnacentral:misc_RNA from 1 species